rnacentral:rRNA from 1 species
UUGGAGGGCAAGUCUGGUGCCAGCAGCCGCGGUAAUUCCAGCUCCAAUAGCGUAUAUUAAAGUUGUUGCAGUUAAAAAGCUCGUAGUUGAAUUUCGGGGUUAGUAGGUUGGUCAUGCCUCUGGUAUGUACUGGUCUCACUGAUUCCUCCUUCCUUAUGAACCGUAAUGCCAUUAAUUUGGUGUUGCGGGGAAUUUGGACUGUUACUUUGUAAAAAUUAGAGUGUUAAAGCAGGC